CGGCACGAGGGUCGUGCCUUCCCGGUGAGUUUAAGCUUAAACGGAUGCGGUAAAGCGUGCUAAGGUAGCUAAGUUAUGGCCUAGCUAAUUGUAGGCCCUGUGAAUGGUUUGACGAGUUUUCUUCUGUCUCUAGCUUGUUUAAGUGAACUUGAGUUGGAUGUGCAAAUGCUUCCUUGGUAAAGAAAGACGAGAAGACCCCGUGAAGUUAGAAAUUAAUGUGCAGAAUAGUGGGAGGCUACUUUUUCUGCCUUAUAGUUUUGGCUGGGGCAGCAAGGGGGCAAAAGUAGACCCCUUAAAAUUUAAUUCUGGUGAGUAAUGACCCAUAAGGUUUAAGGGUAUGAUUAGUAGAAGAAGUUACUCCGGGGAUAACAGCGUAAUCCGCCUUGACAGUCCUUAUAGAUGGGUGGGUUUGCGACCUCGAUGCUUGGCUCUGGAUGUCCUGAAGCUGUAGGCGGUUUCAAGGGUUGGUUCGUUCGCCCAUUAAAAUCCAACGUGAGCUGAGUUCAGAUCGGCGAAAGCUAGGUCGGUUUCUAUCUCUUUUUAAUGGAAAGCCUUAGGGUACGAAAGGACAUUUGGCUUCAGAGGUUCUGUAAUAGUGAUCUUGUAAUAUAAUUAUAGUAAAAAAAAAAAAAAAAAAAAAAAAGGGGGGGCCCGCGCCGAUCCUGCAGCCCGGGGAUCCAC
rnacentral:rRNA from 1 species